rfam:Angiostrongylus cantonensis strain Taiwan genome assembly, scaffold: ACAC_scaffold0000299
GCUUCCGUAGCGCAGUCGGUAGCGCGUCAAUCUCACAAUCUGAUAAUCGCGAGUUCGAGCCUCACAGGGAGCA